AGCUGGCCGUGAGCUCCCCGAUUGGGGCUCGGUCCGGCCAAUAUUGUCACUCUAACGUGCACUCGCGCCUUCCCUCGGCUCUACAGGGCAUCGCAGCCACCGAUCCCAGCCCCUCCCCGGCCUAUGCCAGCCGCCUGGUGGCCCUCCGGGCUGCGGAGCCAGGCCUGGCCUGACAGCAGCAGCUGUUUUCUUCCCGAAGCCGCAGCGCUCAAGGGCGUGGUUGCGGUAGACACCUCGGAUCCCAUUUGGCCUGUGCGGACCCUACCGCGCCAACCCCUCGUCUUAGGACCGAGAGGCCCGACAGCCAGGCGAGAAGCCCUUCAGAUGCGAGUUCGAGGGCUGCGAGCGGCGCUUCGCCAACAGCAGCGACCGUAAGAAGCAUUCGCACGUGCACACUAGCGACAAGCCAUACACGUGCAAGGUGCGGGGCUGCGACAAGUGCUACACGCACCCCAGCUCGCUGCGUAAGCACAUGAAGGUGCACGGGCGCUCGCCGCCGCCCAGCUCUGGCUACGAUUCGGCUACACCGUCUGCCCUCGUGUCGCCCUCGUCGGACUGCGGCCACAAGUCCCAGGUGGCCUCCUCGGCGGCGGUGGCGGCGCGUACCGCCGACUUGAGCGAAUGAUGUCCACCGCGUUGCUCGCAAGGUAAUCUCGCUCCGCGCAGCUGAGCGCCCCGCAUCUCGCGCCUGCUACAUCAAAGGGCCCGCGCACAAAGCAGUGUUUCUUCGCCACGGUGCAUCUUCAUGGUAAGUUAGGAUUUCUAUGGCAAUGUGCAAGUCGCACUGAAAUCCUGAAAGGCCAAGCCUGGAGCCCGUCCAGGCUUUUCAUUAAGGACAUAAUAUUUACGUCUAACAGACCUUUUUUCUUGUGUAUACAAGUAUAUAUUUUUGUUUGACGCGGACUAAAUCAUUUUCAUUUAAUUUCCGGUAAACAAAACCCACGCGAAUGGGCACUUGUACCCGAUCAUAAUAAAAAUGGAUAAUAAUGUGAAGGAAGAAAAGAGCCGCUUGAAUCGCCGCUCAGCCCCCUUUGUUUCUGCUUUCUGCGGUGAUCAGAGGGCGCGUUUGGGUUUGAUGGCGAGUUUCUAAAGGCGAGGAAAUGGUUUGUAAGAGGGGAAAGAAAAGGAGAAAGGUCUAAUCAAGCUCGGGUUGUUCAAAGAGUCGGGUUUUGGGGUUGAAAGUGUGAGUUUGACGGUGCAUCAGCAUGCCGCGUUAGGCUCGCCAUGGAAAUACGCGCGGGGAGCGGCCGCUUCAAAGGCGGCACACUUCACUACAGACACUCUAUUAAGAUACAUUUGCGCUGACCUUUGCUUUCACGCCAUUUAAUACUGUCACUGCGCUCUCCAGUAUAUACUUCCUUUCUAGAACCCGACUUGCCCACGUUUAGGGGUUCACUCUGCACCCUGAUGUGGGAGGCUUUGGCGCAGGGGACACUUUCAGGAAAGGGAGGAGCACAAGGACUCUGUGCAUCUUGACUGCACCCCAAAGAGGCUCCAGGAUCAGGAGUGAAAGAUUUUAAAGCAGCCUCCGAAGCUUAACAAAUGAGCAUUCCAAGCUCAGUUUUGUGCAAAUCGCCUUUCUGACUCUUGAGUAGGAUGGAGGCUUAAAUUUAAUGGCGACUUGGGGGGAAGGGAGCCACCCUGGGGGAGUCUGAGGAGUUCAGACUGUGCCCUUGGGAAUUUCCACUCUGGCUUUCCGUGCCACUCUUCUUCCUUUCCAUCCCAAAAGUCUCUUGCGGCCCCUGAAACUUGUUUCUUUCUAAGGCAGGGUGUGUGGUACCCUUAGGCCUGGACUAGUCCUAGAUGCAAACUCAAGAGCCCAAGGCCAAGGGGAUGUGGGGAAGAUGGCAGGAAAGUUAGAAGUCCAUGUUCCCUUAAUUGUCUUGUUGUUUAUUUUAUCCAAGUACCCCAGUGAAUAGGGGAAAAAUAAACACAGUGAAAAAAAAAAUCAAACAGUGGAGUCUUCUUUAGUGCCAGUCCUUGUGGUUGAAUAAAAAGGAUGGUCCGCUUUCUAUUGAGCUGAGAAAUCUUUGAAGUGGGAGUUAUUAUCUGAGACAUUCCUGCUUGUCGUCCUAACAACGCUGAUGAAACGUAAAAGGUUCUUUGUCAGCGAUUUGUUCUCCUCUCUGUCAAACUCCCUCUGCCCCGUUAGUUUCAAACCGUUUCUAAAGAGAUAAAAAUCAAACUUCUUUUAAAACAAUAUCCACACACUGCAUCAAUACAUAACUUUAGGUCUAAGUCUUGCUAAGGGAUAAACAAAAGCAAUGCCUAGACAUCAGGGUCAGGGCCUGGUCUGGUGAAGUAUGCAGAAGUUGGGGGGCCCUCGGGACAAGCUUUGGGACAUGAGGAAAAGAAUGCAGAGAGGGUGCAAGCAGAAUACAUACCCUAAGUCCAUAAUUGUGUUUCUGCUUCUUUCUGCUCUGGUUUGCAUUCAAUCAGCCCAAGUUGGGUCACAUAGAUGGGUUUCCUUUGGGUACCCCUCAGGCUCCUAAUAUUCUUGCCCAGGAUCCUUGGAACUUAAGAAUGCAGCCAAGCAAUUGUUAAUAUCUCCUGCUCCUUCAAAGCCACCUCUGCUAAAAAUAGACCCAUUGUGUGUUUCUUCUCACUAGCAGCAAUCAACAAGCCCUUUCUGCCGUUAAUAAGAAGGAGAAUAGCUGAAGGAGAGAGAUAUUUUAUUAAUUUCCUGUUUCCUUCAGAAUCUUGGCAAUUGAAGUUUAGAAGGUUUGGUCUACAACACAGUGAUCGAAAAUGCAUGUAAAUGCCCAUCCUUCCCUUCAUUCACGUGUGAAGUUGUUCAUUUUAUAUUGUGCCCAGCAAAGAAACUUUCACCCAGUUCAGGUUUCCCCAAAACUCCUGUGGUGGUUUUAAAGGUGGUUUAAAUAAAUAAGGAUGUGCUGGUCCCCCUACUCUGUGUGUGCUGAAUAAAUGGCUUGUAAAGAAGUUUUUCCAAGCUGUAACCCAUGCUGUUAUUAUAGUUGCUGCAAAAUGUUCUUCCUGAUAUUGAUUUUAUUUGUUAACUGAAGGUCUCCAUAUGUUUGUUUAUAUUGCUAAUUUAUGAGAAAAUGUAAUAAUUGCAAUGAAUGUGAAUUAUACAGACAGGCAAACAUUUUGUAAUCAUAAUUCACAUAUACACAAAAGCCUGGCUGAAAUCUUUAGACUAUUUGUACCCUCUCUACCCACACUGUUUGUGAUUUAUCAUCUGUCUCUUUAGUGUCAGUUAAAUUAUGAACUAACUUGAAAAUAAAAGUUGUUUGACUGAAAGUGAUUGUUGAAUGAACAACAAAGUUGAAAGCCAUGGCUUGAUCUUGUAAAUAUAUAAAUGUAAAUGAUAUUAAAUCUGUGAUUCCUUUUCCCUCCAAAGGCUUUUGUGUACAUGGCGCUGCAUUUGGCUAUUUUCUUUGGAAAUAAAUAAUGUGAUGUUUCUCUUCCUCUUUUG
rnacentral:lncRNA from 1 species